rnacentral:rRNA from 1 species
UGGGGAAUAUUGGACAAUGGGCGCAAGCCUGAUCCAGCAAUGCCGCGUGGAUGAAGAAGGUUUUCGGAUUGUAAAGUCCUUUCGGCGGGGACGAUGAUGACGGUACCCGCAGAAGAAGCCCCGGCUAACUUCGUGCCAGCAGCCGCGGUAAUACGAAGGGGGCUAGCGUUGCUCGGAAUGACUGGGCGUAAAGGGCGCGUAGGCGGAUGUGACAGUCAGGGCGUGAAAUUCCUGGGCUCAACCUGGGGACUGCGUUUGAUACGUCAUGUCUUGAGUGGGGAAGAGGGUCGUGGAAUUCCCAGUGUAGAGGUGAAAUUCGUAGAUAUUGGGAAGAACACCGGUGGCGAAGGCGGCGACCUGGUCCUUUUACUGACGCUGAGGCGCGAAAGCGUGGGGAGCAAACAGGAUUAGAUACCCUGGUAGUCCACGCUGUAAACGAUGUGCGCUGGAUGUUGGGGGGCCUAGCCCUUCAGUGUCGCAGCUAACGCGAUAAGCGCACCGCCUGGGGAGUACGGCC